GGGGCCGUAGCUCAGUUGGGAGAGCGCUUGACUGGCAGUCAAGAGGUCGGGAGUUCGAAUCUCCUCGGCUCCACCA
rnacentral:tRNA from 1 species